rnacentral:rRNA from 1 species
UUUGUCCUGGGGUAAGCAUGUAGGGCGGAACGUAGGUAAAUCCGCGUUCUAUUUAGCCUGAGAUGUGAUGCCGAGCCGAUUGUGGUGAAGUGGAUGAUCCUAUGCUGCCGAGAAAAGCCUCUAGUGAGUGUUGUGGCGGCCCGUACCCUAAACCGACUCAGGUGGUCAGGUAGAGAAUACCAAGGCGAUCGGGUGAACUGUGGUUAAGGAACUCGGCAAAUUGCCCCCGUAACUUCGGGAGAAGGGGGACCUCUGCUGGUGAUGGGCUUUACGUUCUGAGCUGGUGGGGGUCGCAGUGGCCAGGGGGAAGCGACUGUUUACUAAAAACACAGGUCCGUGCGAAGUCGUAAGACGAUGUAUACGGACUGACGCCUGCCCGGUGCCGGAACGUUAAGGGGACCGCUUAGCCAACGCGAGUUGGCGAAGGUGAGAACUUAAGCGCCGGUAAACGGCGGUGGUAACUAUAACCAUCCUAAGGUAGUGAAAUUCCUUGUUGGGUAAGUUCCGACCUGCACGAAUGGCGUAACGACUUCCCCGCUGUCUCAACCACAGACCCGGCGAAAUUGCACUACGAGUAAAGAUGCUCGUUUCGCGCAGCAGGACGGAAAGACCCCGGGACCUUCACUACAGCUUGACAUUGGCGUUUGGAACGUCUUGUGUAGGAUAGGUGGGAGACUGGGAAGCUGUCACGCUAGUGAUGGUGGAGUCAUUGGUGAAAUACCACUCUGGUCGUUUUGAACGUCUAACUCUGGUCCGUGAUCCGGAUCGGGGACAGUGUCUGGUGGGUAGUUUAACUGGGGCGGUUGCCUCCUAAAGAGUAACGGAGGCGCCCAAAGGUUCCCUCAGCCUGGUUGGCAAUCAGGUGUUGAGUGUAAGUGCACAAGGGAGCUUGACUGUGAGACUGACAGGUCGAGCAGGAGCGAAAGCUGGGACUAGUGAUCCGGCAUCGGCGUGUGGAAGCGGUGUCGCUCAACGGCUAAAAGGUACCCCGGGGAUAACAGGCUGAUCUUCCCCAAGGGUCCAUAUCGACGGGAUGGUUUGGCACCUCGAUGUCGGCUCGUCGCAUCCUGGGGCUGGAGUAGGUCCCAAGGGUUGGGCUGUUCGCCCAUUAAAGCGGUACGCGAGCUGGGUUUAGAACGUCGCGAGACAGUUCGGUCCCUAUCCGCUGCGCGCGCAGGAGACUUGAAGGGGGCUGUCCCUAGUACGAGAGGACCGGGACGGACGAACCUCUGGUGUGCCAGUUGUACCGCCAGGUGCACGGCUGGUUGGCUACGUUCGGAAGGGAUAACCGCUGAAAGCAUCUAAGCGGGAAGCUCGCCUUGAGAUGAGGUCUCCCACCCCGUGAGGGGGUAAGGCUCCCGGUAGAUCACCGGGUUGAUAGGCCGGAGGUGGAAGCACGGUAACGUGUGGAGCUGACCGGUACUAAUAGGCCGAGGACUUGAUC